rnacentral:lncRNA from 1 species
GUUCAUUGCCUAUGAGUGUGGCGUCAUUACUUGUUAGGCUCAAAAUUCAUCAUCAUGAAAAAAUAAUGUCGCUACUAGUUAUUUCCAAUCACAAAAGAAGCUGACUCCCAAGCAAGUACGUUGGCAAGAUUUCUUAGCGGAGUUUGACUAUGUGAUGGAAUACAAGCCGGGGAAGGCGAAUGUUGUAGCCGAUGCUUUAAGCAGGAAGGCGGAGCUUGCAGCCAUAAGCCAAGCCAAAGGGACGUUGCUUGAUUUGAUUCGGGAAGGCAUGGAUCAUGAUCCCUUAGCUAAGGAGUUGGUAAAAGCUGCCCAAGAAGGAAAGACGCGACGGUUUUGGGUCGAGGACGGCUUACUCUACACUACGGGGCAGCGUAUCUAUGUUCCUAAAUGGAACAAUUUGCGGCGAGAUAUCAUCAAGGAGUGCCAUGACACAAAGUGGACUGGUCAUCCAGGACAGAAACGCACAUUGGCACUACUUGAACGAGCUUACUAUUGGCCGCAAAUGAAAGAUAUGGUGGAGCUCUAUGUAAAGACUUGUCUUGUGUGCCAACAAGACAAGGUGGAAACAAGGUCACCAGCGGGUUUGUUGGAGCCUCUACCAGUCCCGGAGCGUCCAUGGGACUCUAUCACCAUGGACUUCAUUAAUGCCCUGCCUAAAUCCGAAGGGUUCGGGUCAAUAAUGGUGGUGGUUGAUCGAUUCUCUAAGUACGGCACCUUCAUUCCUGUCACCAAGGAUUGCACAGCGGAGGAAGCAGCAAGGCUAUUCUUCAAGAAUGUUGUGAAGUAUUGGGGGUUACCGCGGAGCAUAAUAUGUGAUCGUGAUCCCCGAUUCACGGGUAGGCU